rnacentral:rRNA from 1 species
GAUUAACGCUAGCGGCAGGCCUAACACAUGCAAGUCGAGGGGUAACAGGUGUAGCAAUACAUGCUGACGACCGGCGCACGGGUGAGUAACGCGUAUGCAACCUACCUUUAACAGGAAGAUAGCCCCGAGAAAUCGGGAUUAAUACUCCAUAAUGAUUAAGAAUCGCAUGGUUUUUAAUUAAAGUUCCGACGGUUAAAGAUGGGGCAUGCGUGACAUUAGUUAGUUGGUGAGGUAACGGCUCACCAAGACCACGAUGUCUAGGGGGUUCUGAGAGGAUUACUCCCCCA